rnacentral:rRNA from 1 species
GAACGAGAAAGUGGAGCAAUCCAUGAGUACAGUGGCGACCGGNGUGAGUAACACGUGACUACCUGCCCUUGAGUGGGGAAUAACUCCGGGAAACCGGGGCUAAUACCGCAUAACAUCGAAAGAUCAAAGGAGCAAUCCGCUUUUGGAGGGGGUCGCGGCUGAUUAGCUAGUUGGUAGGGUAACGGCCUACCAAGGCGAAGAUCGGUAUCCGGCCUGAGAGGGCGCACGGACACACUGGAACUGAAACACGGUCCAGACUCCUACGGGAGGCAGCAGUGGGGAAUUUUGCGCAAUGGGGGAAACCCUGACGCAGCAACGCCGCGUGGAGGAUGAAGCCCUUUGGGGUGUAAACUCCUUUCGACCGGGACGAUACUGACGGUACCGGUGGAAGAAGCACCGGCUAACUCUGUG